CACUACUUUGAUUGCCAGCAACCUCAAUACCUUUACCACCUUCACCACCGUCACCACAUAAACUGUUAGAAACCUCAACAAAAUUCCCACUUAAACCUUCAACACGCUCACCACCUUUACUGGCAGCAACCUCAGUACCUUCAGCACCAUCCCGAUUUAAACUUCAGCACCCUUACCAUUUUCACCACCCUCAACCUCAUCACCCUCACCACCUUUACUACUAGUAACCUCAGCACCCUUCCUAUUUAAAUAUUCAACACCCUCACCACCUUCACCACCCUCAACCUCACCACCUUACCAUCUUUACUGCUAACAACUCAACACCCUCCCCACCUAAACAUUCACCACCCUCCCCACCUUCACCACCAGCAACCUCAACACUGUCUCCAUUUAAACUUACAACACGUUCACCACCUUUACUACCAGCAACC
rnacentral:lncRNA from 1 species